UAUUAGAGUGUUUCCAGAGGAGGGUAACGAAGAUGGUGAAGGGCCUUGAAGGGAAGUUGUAUGAGGAGGGGCUGAGUUCACUUGGUCUCUUCAACCUGGAGAAAAGGAGACUGAGGGGAGACCUCGUUGCAGUCUGCAACUUCCUCGUGAGGGGAAC